rnacentral:rRNA from 1 species
GACGAACGCUGGCGGCGUGCUUAACACAUGCAAGUCGAACGGAAAGGCCCUGCUUUUGUGGGGUGCUCGAGUGGCGAACGGGUGAGUAACACGUGAGUAACCUGCCCUUGACUUUGGGAUAACUUCAGGAGACUGGGGCUAAUACCGGAUAGGAGCUCCUGCUGCAUGGUGGGGGUUGGAAAGUUUCGGCGGUUGGGGAUGGACUCGCGGCUUAUCAGCUUGUUGGUGAGGUAGUGGCUUACCAAGGCUUUGACGGGUAGCCGGCCUGAGAGGGUGACCGGCCAUAUUGGGACUGAGAUACGGCCCAGACUCCUACGGGAGGCAGCAGUGGGGAAUAUUGCACAAUGGGCGGAAGCCUGAUGCAGCAACGCCGCGUGCGGGAUGACGGCCUUCGGGUUGUAAACCGCUUUCGCCUGUGACGAAGCGUGAGUGACGGUAAUGGGUAAAGAAGCACCGGCUAACUACGUG